ensembl:lncRNA
AUGCCUUAUGGAUUGAGCAUAUAUUGCACAAAAUAAUUGUGCAGAAUUACUUUGGCUAAGUUCAUUUCUAUUUUAAUACAGCAGUCACUGUGCCUGAAUGACCUUGAGCAUAAGAAGAUUAGAAGCUGUGGUAAUUAGUUGGUCGGCCCCAUAUCACAUUAGGAGGUUCUAUUAAAAUUGUGAGAAAAUAAAUGGAACAGUGUUCUCUAUACUUACAAACCCAGGUCUUUCUUUACCUAAUUACAUAGCUAGACUGUCAAAACAUUUUUCAGAAAAGAAAAAGAAAAAUCUUUUGUGAAAUCUGUCUUCAGAUCGUGUCAAUAUUUUUAUUUCAAAGGGAUAAAUGCUUUCUGUAAUUAAAGAGCUCUUCCCCAAAUCGUAGCAACUCCAAGCUGAAAACACAACAAAAGGAAACCAUAAAAUAGUUUUCAUAAAGGGAGCAAGUUUUCUUUUUUAGUUAUCCAACGCAAACAGAAUUAGAUUGUAUGUAAAGAUGUCAAAGAAUUUUCCAGGUGUGAAAUAUUUUAGAUAACAAUAAAGCAAUAAAGUAGCAAAUGAAAAAAUGAGACAAAAUGAAUUUAUAUAGAAAAUAGUUUUUCAUCAGUUAUGCUGGCUGAUAUCUUGAAAAUAGUGUUUGAAGUAAUAUUAUAUGAUUUAGCUGCAAGUAUGUGUGGCAAUAAAUUCAAGUCUAGAGUUAUCCUUCAGUCAUAUAAAAUAUUGAACACAGCAUAUCAUUUUAAAAUGAUGUGUAGUGCACCGUGUAGAGAGCAAAAUGACAAUCUACGAUAAUGCUUUCUGACCCCAGCUCUCUGACAAAGCCACAGUUUAACUGGUUUAUUGACAGGGUAGAUUAUUAUAGAUUAGAGUGGUUCACAAAAGAUGGCAGCUCCUAUUCUUUUGUAAUAGUCCGACUGAGCUGCUCUUGAAAACCCUUCAUCCAAGGAGCUCCAAACAUUACUAAUAGGUACUCUUAUGUCUAAGCAUUCAUCUGAUCAUUUCUUAUGUGUAGGGAUUUGGAAUCUUAAUUAGUAUUCAUCAGUUAUUCCUAUGAGACAUUCUAGCAUAUUCAAGUCAUUUAAAAAUGAGUUGCCUUGGAAGUCUGAUUAACCUCUCCAGAGAAAUGCUAUUAGACCACUUGCCCUCCAAAGCUCAACUCCAUCCUUACACAAUUGACUCAUAUUUAUGUCUUGACUAAGGGGAAACACAUCAAUUAGCUUUUGCAGAACCAUUUGGUAUUGGGCAGGUUGCUUUCCCUCCAUUUGUUUCUGUCAUUACCUGAUUAUAAAUAAGAAUAUCACUGAUUUUUAUCAUUCCACUUGCUUUACAGAAGACUUGGCCUAAUUCGUGUGUUAUUUUGUUUUUCCAGAAAAGAUCUAUGUAUAUCAAAUAUAAUUAAACACUUCUUUGUUAUUGCAAACACUUUGAAGAAAGGCUUUCAUUUCAUGCUUAGGGGAUAUUGUAUUUUCUUAGAAACCCAAACCCUUUGAAUUCUCUUCAUAUGUUUCUGUGGAAUAUUUAGCAACUGAAAUCUCCUUCAUUUAAAGUGUCAUGAACAACAGAUGGUGUCCCUAAAAAGACUAGUUUCAUAUUCGAGUCAUUUUGCAAUAAAGCGAUAUCCUGUAAUUGUAUUCAAAGUCGACUUAGUGCUUGUGAGUACGGAUCAGAAAGCCAAAUGAACC